CUACGGGAGGCAGCAGUAGGGAAUCUUCCGCAAUGGACGAAAGUCUGACGGAGCAACGCCGCGUGAGUGAUGAAGGUUUUCGGAUCGUAAAGCUCUGUUGUUAGGGAAGAACAAGUGCGAGAGUAACUGCUCGCACCUUGACGGUACCUAACCAGAAAGCCACGGCUAACUACGUGCCAGCAGCCGCGGUAAUACGUAGGUGGCAAGCGUUGUCCGGAAUUAUUGGGCGUAAAGGGCUCGCAGGCGGUUUCUUAAGUCUGAUGUGAAAGCCCCCGGCUCAACCGGGGAGGGUCAUUGGAAACUGGGAAACUUGGGUGCAGAAGAGGAGAGUGGAAUUCCACGUGUAGCGGUGAAAUGCGUAGAGAUGUGGAGGAACACCAGUGGCGAAGGCGACUCUCUGGUCUGUAACUGACGCUGAGGAGCGAAAGCGUGGGGAGCGAACAGGAUUAGAUACCCUGGUAGUCCACGCCGUAAACGAUGAGUGCUAAGUGUUAGGGGGUUUCCGCCCCUUAGUGCUGCAGCUAACGCAUUAAGCACUCCGCCUGGGGAGUACGGUCGCAAGACUGAAACUCAAAGGAAUUGACG
rnacentral:rRNA from 1 species